rnacentral:rRNA from 1 species
UACAGAGACUGCAAGCGUUAUUCGGAUUCACUGGGCGUAAAGGGUGCGCAGGCGGUCGGGUGUGUCAGAUGUGAAAUCCCCGGGCUCAACCUGGGAACUGCAUUUGUGACUGCACAGCUGGAGUGCGGCAGAGGGGGAUGGAAUUCCGCGUGUAGCAGUGAAAUGCGUAGAUAUGCGGAGGAACACCGAUGGCGAAGGCAAUCCCCUGGGCCUGCACUGACGCUCAUGCACGAAAGCGUGGGGAGCAAAAGGG